GGGGAUGGUUCGUUGCUGGUGUGGCGCUCGGUCUUCAAAACCGCUGUGGGGCGGGUAAAAGCCGUCCCGGGUAGGUUCGAUUCCUACGCAUCCCCGCCA
rnacentral:tRNA from 1 species